AGUUUGAUUAUGGCUCAGAUUGGAACGCUGGCGGGAUGCUUUACACAUGCAAGUCGAACGGCAGCACGGACUUCGGUCUGGGUGGUGAGUGGCGAACGGGUGAGUAAUGUAUCGGAACGUGCUCAGUAGCGGGGGGAUAACUACGCCGAAAAGCGUAGCCACAUCGCAUACGCCCUUCGGGAAAGCGGGACUCGGGCUUCGCACCAUUAGAGCGGCCGAUAUCGGAUUAGCUAGUUGGUGGGGUAACGGCUCACUGACAGAUGAUCCGUAGCUGGUUUGAGAGGACGACCAGCCACACUGGGACUGAGACACGGCCCAGACUCCUACGGAGGCAGCAGUGGGGAAUUUUGGACAAUGGGGAACCCUGAUCCAGCCAUCCCGCGUGUGCGAUGAAGGCCUUCGGGUUGCAAAGCACUUCUUUGGCAGGAAAGAAACGGCACGGGAUAACACUCCCGUGCAACUGAUGGUACUCGCAGAAUAAGCACCGGCUAACUACGUGCCAGCAGCCGCGGUAAUACGUAGGGUGCAAGCGUUAAUCGGAAUUACUGGCGUAAAGGUGGCAGGCGGUUCGGAAAGAAAGACGCCAAAUCCCCAGAGCUUAACUAACCGUAUUUUUAACUACCGAGCUAGCGCCAGAUAGAGGUGAAUUCCGCGUGUAGCAGUGAAAUGCGUAGAUAUGCGGAGGAACACCGAUGCAGCGGUAGCCUCCUGGGAUAACACUGACGCUCAUGCACGAAAGCGUGGGGAGCAAAACAGGAUUAGAUACCCUGGUAGUCCACGCUCCUAAAACGAUGUCAAUCUGAAUGUCAGUAUUCUCGGGCCUGGUAGCGCAGCUAACGCGAAGUCGACCGCCUGGGGAGUACGGUCAUGGUGAUCCAAAACUCAAAGAAUUGACGGGGACUCCGCACAAGCGGUGGAUGAUGAUUAAUUCGAUGCAAAUCGAAACCUUACCUACCCUUGAUACGUCCGAACCCGAAGAUGAUUUGGGAGUGCUCACAAGAGAAAUCCGGAACAUGAGUGAAGCGCAUGUGGCGGCUGUCGUCAGCUCGGGUGUCGAGAUGUUGGGUUGUCCUGCAACGAGCGCAAUCCCUUGUCAUUAUUGCUACGAAAGGGCACUCUAAUGAGAUCCGCCGGUGACAAACCGGAGAAAUGGAUGACGUCAAGUCUCGCGGUCUUUGCGGUGUUUUCACGUCAUACGGCCGUCGGGACAGAAGGGUCGCUAACCCGCUGAUAAGGGAGCCAAUCCCAGAAACCCGAUCGUAGUCCGGAUCGCAGUCUGCAACUCGACUGCGUGAAGUCGGAAUCGCUAGUAAUCGCGAUCAGCAUGUCGCGGUGAAUACGUUCCCUUUCAGUCUUGUACACACCGCCCGUCACACCAAGCGGGGAGUGGGUUUUACCAGAAGUAGUUAGUCAGCCUAACCGCGCUAUGGGCGAUUACCACGGUAUCUGCAUAUCGGGGUGAAGUCGUAUAC
rnacentral:rRNA from 1 species